rnacentral:rRNA from 1 species
UACGUAGGGGGCGAGCGUUGUCCGGAAUUAUUGGGCGUAAAGAGCGUGUAGGCGGUUCGGUAAGUCUGCCGUGAAAACCUGGGGCUCAACCCCGGGCGUGCGGUGGAUACUGCCGGGCUAGAGGAUGGUAGAGGCGAGUGGAAUUCCCGGUGUAGCGGUGAAAUGCGCAGAUAUCGGGAGGAACACCAAUGGCGAAGGCAGCUCGCUGGGACGUUACUGACGCUGAGACGCGAAAGCGUGGGGAGCAAACAGG